rnacentral:rRNA from 1 species
GACGAACGCUGGCGGCGUGCUUAACACAUGCAAGUCGAACGGAAAGGCCCUGCUUUUGUGGGGUGCUCGAGUGGCGAACGGGUGAGUAACACGUGAGUAACCUGCCCUUGACUUUGGGAUAACUUCAGGAAACUGGGGCUAAUACCGGAUAGGAGCUCCUGCUGCAUGGUGGGGGUUGGAAAGUUUCGGCGGUUGGGGAUGGACUCGCGGCUUAUCAGCUUGUUGGUGGGGUAGUGGCUUACCAAGGCGUUGACGGGUAGCCGGCCUGAGAGGGUGACCGGCCACAUUGGUACUGAGAUACGGCCCAGACUCCUACGGGAGGCAGAAGUGGGGAAUAUUGCACAAUGGGCGGAAGCCUGAUGCAGCAACGCCGCGUGCGGGAUGACGGCCUUCGGGUUGUAAACCGCUUUCGCCUGUGACGAAGCGUGAGUGACGGUAAUGGGUAAAGAAGCACCGGCUAACUACGUG